UUCUAUCAGUUUACUGACCGG
rnacentral:piRNA from 1 species